GCGCCCGUAGCUCAGAGGAUAGAGCGUAGGACUUCGAAUCCUGUGGUCGGGGGUUCGACUCCCCCCGGGCGUGCCA
rnacentral:tRNA from 15 species